UCUGGCAGUCGAGCUGUUUGGUAGUCAUCGCAACUUUAUAUCUGUUAGUUUCUGUCAUUCAAACAACACAUUUUACCAAGAGCGUCAUUCGUCCAUUGUCUACGUAGUCCAUAAUCCAGUUAUGCAUUCUACAGAUGGCUUAUAUAGUUAUAUCCUAUUAAAACCUUUCAAAAAGACGAUAAGGUGUACCCGACAAAUAUGUUUUUAUGUGAUGCAAUAAUAUAAUUAUAUUAACACAAUAUGCAAAUCGGAUUUUACAAGAUAGAACAUAAUGAAGAUACAUAAAAUAACAUAUACAUAAUAUUUAUACUAGAUAAUUAUAAUAUAUAUGUAAAUGAGACAUUCUGACCAUUCUGUACCAAAAUACAUUGAAGUGUCACAGCCUCAACAGGCGCUAUCAGUAUAAUAAAAUAUAUAAUAAUUUUAAUUUGUUAUUGAAACUUAAUAUACUAACCUACUAACCCUUUA